rnacentral:rRNA from 1 species
AUUGAACGCUGGCGGCAUGCCUUACACAUGCAAGUCGAACGGUAACGGGCCUUCGUGUUCCGCCGAACGUCGGACGGGUGCGUAAUACAUCCGAACGUGCCCCAUCCUUGGAAAUAAGGAGGCGAAAGGGUUACUAAUACCGCAUACGAUCUACGGAUUUAACCAGGUGGCCGCAAGGCCUAGCGCGGACUUUGCGGCCGAUGGCAGAUUAGUUAGUUGGUGGUGUAAAAGCUUACCAAGGCGACGAUCUGUAGCUGGCCUGAGAGGAUGAUCCGCCACACUGGAGCUGAGACACGGUCCAGACUCCUACGGGAGGCAGCAGUAGGGAAUCUUCGGCAAUGGGCGAAAGCCUGACGGAGCCAUGCCGCGUGAGGGAUGAAGGUCUUCGGGUCGUAAAACGCUGUUGUAAGGGAAGAACAGAUUUCUAAGAAAACAGGCAGGUCUUGACGGUACCGAAUGAAAAAGCACCGGCUAACUACGUG